GGUGCUUUGUUUAAUGGCACAUUCCUUGAUUCGCCAUGAUGAAGCCAUUUGCCUCCUUGGUCCUUCUCAGCGCAUUUUUCAUCUCUCAAAGUGAAGCACUGCAGUGCUAUACCUGUGUAGGUGCAAGUGAUGAAGAAUGUAACAGACAAGGAACUGAGCAAUGUCCUGGGCCGUCCGAUGCUUGCGCAGUCAUAAGAGGACAGUCAAGUGGAAUUAUGAAGUCCUGUUCAUAUAGGUCAUUCUGUGAGCGGGCAAGGCGGGAACGCUCACGCGCACCUGGAGUGAAUGUUCACUGCUGUUAUUCCAAUAACUGCAAUGCCAAAAGCCUCGGCUCAAGAAACAUCAUCUCCACCAACUACUUAUUUCUGCUUUUCUCAGUGAUUUUUUGGCACUUGAUUUUUAACUUGAAAUGAAAAUGGGACUGGAAAGAGGAAGCAAUUACCCUAGAACUGCAAGGCUGUCUUUGAAUCAAAGGGUGAACAAUCCAGAUUCAUUAACUCUAUUAAUGUAAUGCAGUAUAUUAAAAUCAUUGCGGGUUCAGGGACACAGAGCUAUCUGUUAACUCACUUUGCAAAUACAGGAAAAUGGUAGAUGGUGACUGAGACAAUUGGCAGAUGACAUUUUACUGAUGAUGCCCAGGAACCUGCACUGAUAGUUAUUAAUAGACAGUGGAAGAAGCAUGUUAUUUCAGAAUUUCUCUACAUUAUUCUAGCAACAAAAAAGCUACCAGCUGCAGCCUUGUAGUGUGAUAUGAAAAGCUUCACACUUAACAGUUGUAAGAAUCCUUUGUACAUAAUAAAGUAAUGCUAAGUUUGAUUAAGCAACAAUAUGGCCUAAAUUUUUUUGACAUGGAACUUCUAUGGCAGGAACUCUUUAUCAUUAAUGGCUUAUUAGAGGGGAAAGAAGAUGAGAAACAGCUAGAUUCUAAUCUGGCUAGAAACACAUGUGAUUUGUCUGUAUUGGUUUCAUUGUAUCUACUCAUCCUGCAUUAUAUCUACUGCAUUGUAUCUACUCAUCCUGCAAGAAAUUAGUAUAUUGCACGGCAUAUUGUUCUAAACAUUAAUGAUUCUCAUUUAAAAUAGUGAAUGGAUUUUACUUCUAAAAAGGGGCUAUGAGGAAAGAGUACGACUUCCUCUAGGAUAAUCAGUGGGACUGAAUUUACAGAGCAAGAUUAACCUGUGACAUGCUUUCCAGUCAGUAGGCUGCUUAACUUAUUUACCAGUGGCUUUAUUGAGAUAGAUGAAUUAAUUCUAAUAUCCCACUUAAAUUCCAAUUCAGCUCAGCAUUCUAUUUAUCUGCCUUUCUCAUGUAAGAAAUAAAAUGUUAAUGGCAUUAUCUCAAUCAGUGGACAGAUGAAAUAUUUUCAUAAUACAUAAGCAUGAUACAGAAAUAUUUCUCCUCAAACUAAUAUCAACAUCAUAAAGAAGACAGAUCAUGAAUCCUUUUUUGAAACUGAGUUUUUAUUAUGACUAUAUUUACAACAGAGUUAGGAUCUGAAAAUUGUGAUGGUACCUCAUGCAUCCAUGACCAACAUAGAUUUUCAAAAAAAGUGUCCCAAUUUUUGUUUUUAGCAGGGUCAGGCACCUACAAAUGCUACUGGCAUGUAAUGCAGCAACAAAUAUGAAAUGCUUGGAGAUAUGUCAACCCACCUUUAAUGCUUAAUAUAUAUUUUCUGAUUUUUCUUCAGGAACACAUUUUUAAUAUACCUGAUCUUAAUUCCAAUGAAACUCACUGAAAUUAGCUGUCAUGAAAGCUUAUGCAGGAAUAAAUGUCUUUGAGGUGCCAUGGACUCCUGUUUAUUUUUCAGCAAGUAUAUUAGGCUGUAAUUCCAACAAAAGAUUUUUUUUAAAAAUUCAGUUGAAUUCAUGUUAAGGUCCUUGAAGAUACAAACUUUUCUAGCUUGAUCUAGAACAAUAAACCCCAUAAGUAAAUUACAGGUGUCCAGUUUCAUUGCUCAAAUUGUCAUGCUAGUACAUGCAUACAGAGGGUUGUGUGAGGUGGCAGUCAUUUGUACGAUCAAACUGAGUCACAAUCUUUCAUACUAAUGACCUACACAAGUUUUUGUUGCUUCUAUAUGACAGUACACAGGAUCAAAACCAAAAAUUUCUGUAUCAGUAUUUAGCCCACAUUGGUUUAUAUUUGGUUCCUCUUGAAAUUGUUAUAUUGUACUAAGCAUUUUAGGAGCCAUGUUUCCAUUUUGGUAAAAUUCUAUAAAUCUGUGUUUGGGCGGCUCAUUUGAUACCUAAGUAUAUUUGUUUUCUUUGACUAAAAUAAGCUCACACAUUAUAUAACAAUCACCAAAGCUGUAAUGUUCCUGAACUGGAAACACCAGUCAUUGCAUGGAUUAAGUGUGCAGCAUGUAGUCCACUUCUUUGUCCUUGGGGCUGGACAAUCCCUUCCCUAGGUGCUUGGGGACUGAACCCUUUCUGUAAUUACUCAAUCCUGCUCAUAAGCAGCUUGACUGCAGACAAUACAGUUGUCAUCGUCCUGCAGAACAAGUUGAAAGGUGGCUCUUGAAUGCAAAAAAAGUGUGUGGGGGGACGACGACGACAUUCAAGUAAUUUUUGGUUGUUUUCCCAUUGUACACUGAAAGGGAUAUGCUUAUCAUCUCUGAAAUAGUACUAUGGGCUUUGGCAGCUAUGCUUCCCAUUGUAUGAGCAGGUCAAACAGGAACAUAAAGGGCACAACUUUUGAACUGGCUAGCAGAACUUCAUUGUUUCCAGGGCUCACUGAAGAGAUUCUUAAGAAUCUCCUAUAUUAUCACACAGGAUCUCUCAUUUUCAAUGCUUGGGAAGGCUUGAGGGAACAGCAACUGAGCAAAAGUGACAUUAAAAUUUAUCCUCUAAUUCUACAUCAGUGAUGAUACAGAAGCCCUUGGACUUCUCUUCAAUGAUUACUGAGUGUUUAGCUGAUUCCAAAGGAACAUUGUUAACAAGUAGGGGGCUGUGAUGUUGCUGGGGAAUAUCCCUUGUCUGAAGUAAAGUCCCAAGUGGUUAACAAUAUUUAAAUGUAUAGUCAAUGUAAAAAAACUUUUCUUCAAGUGUAAAUCCAACAAAGGACAAAAUAAAGAGUUAUUUUUAUCUUA